rnacentral:rRNA from 1 species
UACGUAGGGUGCGAGCGUUAAUCGGAAUUACUGGGCGUAAAGCGUGCGCAGGCGGUUUUGUAAGACAGGCGUGAAAUCCCCGGGCUCAGCCUGGGAACUGCGUUUGUGACUGCAAGGCUAGAGUACGGCAGAGGGGGGUGGAAUUCCACGUGUAGCAGUGAAAUGCGUAGAGAUGUGGAGGAACACCAAUGGCGAAGGCAGCCCCCUGGGUCGAUACUGACGCUCAUGCACGAAAGCGUGGGUAGCAAACAGGAUUAGAUACCCUGGUAGUCCACGCCCUAAACGAUGGAUACUAGACGUUGGAGCUCUAAUCGCUUCAGUGUCGCAGCUAACGCAAUAAGUAUCCCGCCUGGGAAGUACGGUCGCAAGAUUAAA